UCCCGUGUAGCUCAGCUGGUUGAGCAUGGCGCUUGCAACGCCGGGAUUGUGGGUUCAAUUCCAUGGGGG
rnacentral:tRNA from 1 species